AAUCAACGUUGGCGGCGCGCUUAACACAUGCAAGUCGAGGGGUUUCAGGGGCAACUCUGGAGCACCGGCGAACGGGUGCGUAACACGUGAGCGACCUGCCCGCUUGUGGGGGAUAGCCGGCCCAACGGCCGGGUAAUACCGCAUACGCUUCUUGGGGGGCAUACCCUGGGAAGGAAAGCUUUAGUGCAGGCGGAGGGGCUCGCGGCCUAUCAGCUAGUUGGCGGGGUAACGGCCCACCAAGGCGAUGACGGGUAGCUGGUCUGAGAGGAUGGCCAGCCACAUUGGGACUGAGAGACGGCCCAGACUCCUACGGGAGGCAGCAGUGGGGAAUCUUGGACAAUGGGGGAAACCCUGAUCCAGCCAUGCCGCGUGAGUGAUGAAGGCCUUC
rnacentral:rRNA from 1 species